rnacentral:rRNA from 1 species
AUUGAACGCUGGCGGCAGGCUUAACACAUGCAAGUCGAACGAGUGGCGGACGGGUGAGUAAUGCUUGGGAAUCUAGCUGAUGGAGGGGGAUAACUACGGGAAACGGUAGCUAAUACCGCGUACCAUAGGAUGAGCCCAGGUGGGAUUAGGUAGUUGGUGGGGUAAAGGCUCACCAAGCCGACGAUCUCGAGCUGGUAUGAGAGGAUGACCAGCCAACCUGGGACUGAGACACGGUCCAGACGCCUACGGGAGGCAGCAGUGGGGAAUAUUGCGCGAUGGGGGCAACCUGACGCAGCCCUGCCGCGUGAAUGAAGAAGGCCUUCGGGUUGUAAAGUUCUUUCUGUAGGGAGGCGUUAACUGCAGAAGAAGCACAGGCUAACUCCGUGCCAGCAGCCGCGGUAAUUC